GCUGCAUUCUAAUAAGCUAGUCCCAAAUAGUUCGUGGAAUACAUCUUGAUGUAUUGAAUCGCAUUGCAAAAACAAGCUACUUAUUCGCAUUACGCGUCAUUCGAGAGCAUUCAAACAGGACUCAGUGUACUGCUUUUUCUGUUACAUUAGUAAUAACAGCAGCAUUGACUGAAGACAGCAGGAGCGCAAGACAACGCGUGUAUCUCUGAGUGCAGCACUAGCGGAGGAAUAUUUGAGCUUUUAUUUACUCUGCGCUUGUUGUUCAUUUUUCUGCUUUAUGGUUAACUUGUACAGUCACGUGUGAAGAUUUCUAGAAGCUGAACGUACAAAGACUUCUUCUCACCUGGUGGCUCUUGUUUUCCUAGAGGAAAUAAACCUGCGUUUUGAUCCUCUGCAGACAUCUCUGGACUGGAUUCCUUCCCCUCCUGAGACAGACAACAACCACACGUUUUCACCCUCAGGGAUGAAAUAUGCAACGGCUGUGAGAAGAGCACACACAUUCUGAAGUCCAAAGUAGUGAGUCAUACUGUCUUUUACA